rnacentral:rRNA from 1 species
CGAACGGGUGAGUAAUACAUCGGAACGUAUCCAGUAGCGGGGGAUAACCUCUCGAAAGAGAGGCUAAUACCGCAUACGACCUACGGGUGAAAGAGGGGGAUCGCAAGACCUCUCACUAUUGGAGCGGCCGAUGUCGGAUUAGCUAGUUGGCGGGGUAAAAGCCCACCAAGGCUACGAUCCGUAGCUGGUCUGAGAGGACGACCAGCCACACUGGAACUGAGACACGGUCCAG